UCCUUUUUAAAUUACUGAAGGAAAAAUUAGCUUUAGUGUAGAUUAUAUAUGUGCUUUAAUGCUUACAGCAUGGUUCUAAUUUAUGUUUACUUUUCCUACUUCUAGGGCUGAGCUUCCCCUUUUGGUAGCAAGAAAAUAUUAUACAGAAAGGGUAUUAGGUUCAUUCGAUCUAACUGGAAGAUAUAACAUUCUUGCUUGAUGCAUUUGGGGGCUGGUACUCCAUUGUUUUGGACAAUACUUCUACCAUUACUUUGACGCAUUUCAGCUGGGAAGGGCACAUGUCUACAUGGCUUUUCUUCGUUGAAUGUGAAGAAGUUCUAGGCAAUGAAAACCAUGUGAAGAACCAGAAACACUACUAGAGGGUUAAGUUGUGGGUUUGCUUUUAGGAACGAGGCUCCAGCGAGAGAAUAUGAGCCCAUGAGUUCGUCGUAUAAUAUGUAUGAUUAAACAACUCUCUCCUUUUAUGGGAAUGGACAUGACAAUUAUGAUGAUGCUGUUGUUCCUUUGAAAAGGAAGAGCCAUGAGUCCGUCGUGUAAUAUGUAUGAUUAAACAACUCUCCUUUUAUGGGAAUGGACAUGAUGAUUGUGAUGAUGAUGUUGUUCCUUUGAAAAGGUUGUGACAAUGGAAAUUAUUUUGAGCAAAAUCGGAAUUUACCGAUUGGAUUCGUAUUUUGGCAAGGCAACUGUGAUUGCAGCCAUGGCGGAUUUCGACAUUAAAUUCUGAUAAUAACAUAUCUGAGCUUCAAAAAACCAUUAUUCUUGGAGAUAUGAAGAACAUCUAUCUACAUAGAGGUGCACAUUUCGGGUUUUUUUCUCAAACCGGUACCGGUUCAAAUCGUUUCAGUUUGGGUCAACAACGGUUGAAACUAGUAUUUGGUGAAACUGGUUUACAAGUGGAAAGGGAUUGGUUUCGAUUGGUGUCAUAAACCGGUUCUGGUUCACAAACCAGGUUUUUUGUUCACCUCUACAUUUACCUAUAACCAAAUGUUGAGCUAACUUGGAAUUUACAGAUUGGAUCCGUCCGUAUCUUGGCUAGGCAACUCGGUCG